rnacentral:rRNA from 1 species
UACGGAGGAUGCAAGCGUUAUCCGGAAUGAUUGGGCGUAAAGCGUCCGCAGGUGGCGAUGUAAGUCUGCUGUUAAAGAGUCUAGCUCAACUAGAUAAGAGCAGUGGAAACUACAUAGCUAGAGUACGUUCGGGGCAGAGGGAAUUCCUGGUGUAGCGGUGAAAUGCGUAGAGAUCAGGAGGAACACCGGUGGCGAAAGCGCUCUGCUAGGCCGCAACUGACACUGAGGGACGAAAGCUAGGGGAGCGAAUGGG